rnacentral:rRNA from 1 species
AAUAGAUACCCCGGUAGUCCACGCCGUAAACGAUGAGUGCUAAGUGUUAGAGGGUUUCCGCCCUCUAGUGCUGAAGUUAACGCAUUAAGCACUCCGCCUGGGGAGUACGGCCGCAAGGCUGAAACUCAAAGGAAUUGACGGGGGCCCGCACAAGCGGUGGAGCAUGUGGUUUAAUUCGAAGCAACGCGAAGAACCUUACCAGGUCUUGACAUCCUCUGACAACCCUAGAGAUAGGGCUUCUCCUUCGGGAGCAGAGUGACAGGUGGUGCAUGGUUGUCGUCAGCUCGUGUCGUGAGAUGUUGGGUUAAGUCCCGCAACGAGCGCAACCCUUGAUCUUAGUUGCCAUCAUUAAGUUGGGCACUCUAAGGUGACUGCCGGUGACAAACCGGAGGAAGGUGGGGAUGACGUCAAAUCAUCAUGCCCCUUAUGACCUGGGCUACACACGUGCUACAAUGGACGGUACAAAGAGCUGCAAGACCGCGAGGUGGAGCUAAUCUCAUAAAACCGUUCUCAGUUCGGA